AUUGAACGCUGGCGGCAGGCCUAACACAUGCAAGUCGAACGAGUGGCGGACGGGUGAGUAAUGUCUGGGAAACUGCCCGAUGGAGGGGGAUAAAUACUGGAAACGGUAGCUAAUACCGCAUACCAACGGAUGUGCCCAGAUGGGCUUAGCUAGUAGGUGGGGUAACGGCUCACCUAGGCGACGAUCCCUAGCUGGUCUGAGAGGAUGACCAGCCACCCUGGAACAGAGACACGGUCCAUCCUCCUCCGGUAGGCAGCAGUGGGGAAUAUUGCACAAUGGGCGCAAUCCGGAUGCAGCCCUGCCGCGUGUAUGAAGAAGGCCUUCGGGUUUUAAAGUACUUUCAGCGAGGAGGCGUUACUCGCAGAAGAAGCACCGGCUAACUCCGUGCCAGCAGCCGCGGUAAUAC
rnacentral:rRNA from 1 species